CAAUGCUUUGCUCUCACAUCAGUGCCUGACAAUGUCUUCAUCUAUGCAAACCUUUGGUUUUUUCUUUAUGUGUUUUUCAUGUCAGGUGAGCGCUGUUACAUUUCAACAAUCUCCUCCCAAGAUAGUGACGGAGAAAGUUGAGGUCCAGAUUAACUGCCGUCACGAUGAUAAUAGCCUUCUGUUGAUGCUCUGGUAUCAGCAAAGAAAGGACAGUCUGUCUAUGACGCUCAUUGGGCAUGUAUAUGGAAAAAGUCCCCCAAACUAUGAAGGUCUGUUUGAAGAACAAUUCAAUCUGACAAGAGAAGACACAACCAGAGGAACGCUGAUUAUUCACACAGCAAAUCUGUCACACUCUGCUGUUUAUUUCUGUGCCGCUAGAGCACACAGUGAUGUGGUUUAAUGCCACUCCCUCACUAAAAACCCUUUCCUUUUCCGUGUAAAUGAUGAGAUACGUGCAUUUGCACAAGUGCGGAGUGUCUCUUAACACAUCACUGGAGGGAGCGGUGUCCCCCCUGCAACAGCACAAACUUGAAAAUGUCUCCAGCUGUGUACGGAUUUAUUCUCAUCUUGCUUUUAUAUCGAGCCACGAGUUUGACGUUUGAGCCAUCUCAACCAAGAAUAAUCAAAGAAAACACCAGGGUAGAAAUUAAAUGCAGUCAUGAUGAUAGCAACCUCUAUGUAAUGCUCUGGUACCAGCAAACAGAGAGUAGUCUGAUGAAUUUAAUUGGAUACAGCUACAGCGGCAGUGACCCAGACUAUGAGAAGCAGUUUAAAGGCCGGUUUGAGAUUACAAGAAAAGACAUCCAAACAGGAUCUUUGAUCAUUGGCACGGUGAAUCUGUCAGACUCGGCUGUGUAUUUCUGCGCUGCCA